rnacentral:rRNA from 1 species
AUGGGAGAGCUUGAGAUUUUUGAGACGCUAGUGGGAGUUGACUGCCACACCUUCAUCGUGACAUGGAGAAAUAACCAGAAAUUUCAGUUCAGCGUGAAUUAUCGAGCUGAAAACUCUGAGAAUACGAUAGACUGCAGUUGUGGACGAAUGCUUCGGAAAGGAUUGCCUUGCAAACACAUUCUGUAUGUGUUGGUUCAUCUUAAAAAAUCUAAAAUACCUAAGUGUUGCAUCCUUAAGAGGAUGUCGAAAGUUGCGAGAGGUGGGCUGCCUGCACAGCGAAAGAGUGACUUGUUUGGCUGGGGUUGGACAGGGGCAGAGCAGCGUGCUCGCUAUAGUCAACUUAGUAUAACAGGAGCUGAAGCUUUUCAUGUUGCUUCAAAUGAUCCAUUCGUCUAUGAUGAGUUGAUGCAGUGUCUGCAGAAUAUAAUAGCGAAGAAAAAGGUCCCUGAUGAUAAUGUUGUUGGUAGUACAAGAAAUGUGCAUGAGGAUCCACGUCAGCCGGAACAACAUGUUGAUGUCAUAGGUGAUCCCGUGAAAGUUUCCAUGAAGGGCGCCCCUAAACAGAGCAGGACAGGGCGGGCAAAUAAAGAUCCAAACGUUACAAAGAAUGGAAGACCAAAAUCAUUUUCUGAGAAAAAACCCGGUCCUCUUUGUGGCAUUUGUAAGAAAGAGGGCCAUAGACGGCAAACGUGCCCUGAGAAUGAAAAGAACCGGGCAUAA